CCUACGGGUGGCAGCAGUGAGGAAUAUUGGUCAAUGGCCGGAAGGCUGAACCAGCCAAGCCGCGUGAAGGACGAAGGUGCCAUGCAUUGUAAACUUCUUUUGUCAGAGGACAAUAUCGGGCACGAGAGCCUGCCCGAGGGUACUUGAAGAAAAAGCAUCGGCUAACUCCGUGCCAGCAGCCGCGGUAAUACGGAGGAUGCGAGCGUUAUCCGGCUUUAUUGGGUUUAAAGGGUGCGUAGGGGGACUAUUAAGUCAGCGGUAAAAGCCCGGGGCCCAAUCCCGGCGAGCCGUUUAAACCGGAUGGCUUGAGAGGUCGUGAGGGAGGCGGAAUGCGCGGUGUAGCGGUGAAAUGCGUAGAGA
rnacentral:rRNA from 1 species